UAUGAUUGAUGUGGUGGUCCUGCAUGAGAGGGCUGUGAAUGCUGUGAUGGAGAUACCUGAUAUUGUAGAUUUGGAGGAUCUUGUGUUUGACUAGGCGGUGAAUAGUAAGGAUCUCUCUGAGGGACAGAGGGAAUCUGACUCUGCGGUAACUGGUUUGGAAGUGGAGCAGGAGGUGACAAAUUUUGUUGGAAAAUAGGUGGUGGAGGGACAGCAGGAGGAGGAACAGAAACAGGAACAGAAGGAAUGGAUUGCGGAAAAGUGAUGGGAGGAAGUUGUUGGUGAGUAUGUGGAGGGGCAGGUGCUGCUUGUUGCAGCUGCUGGUGAGAUUGUGGAGGGGCAGAUGCUGCUUGCUGCACAGUGUCCAUGUGCCCAGAGUUUUUGGUUUCCGAUUGUUGCCGGUCUCCCUUAGACACUUGCAUCUUUGUAAGUUGCAACUGAGCCUCAACUAUUUCCUGCUUCUCCUUUAAAAGAUGCACCCCUGUUUGCACCUCUCUCAAAAUGUUCUCCAGGUGUCUCAUUUUCCCAUCUGUGAUUCCAUGAUUGUUUCCAACAGAAAGCUUCAAAUCAUCCACAGAAUUCUCAAGAUGGCGGGUUCUGCUCUCCAGUUGUGUCAGUCGUGCACUGACACCUUCCAGAAUAUGCACCAAAUUAUCAGCAUAUUUCUUCAUCGAUUUAUCAAUUUCAGACACUAUUGCUACAUCAGAAGCAUUUUGAUCCUUCUCAACAAUGACACUUGCAGGUUCAAUAGAGUCCACAGAACCAUAAUUUCUGAUAGGCAUGGCAGCAGAAUUGUGAACGGUAUUAGAUUUAGAAUCAGCGGGAUUCCAAACCCUAGAGGCAGAAGUUGGAGCUCCGAGACCAGCAAGGGAAGAGUCAAGACUCGAAGCAAUAGAACGAAUCGGCUGAAAAUUGUAACUGGGAACGAUCUCCUCCUUCCUAAUCCCAUUAUCACCAGCACUUCCAAUGAUGGAACUAGUAUUGGAAUUAUAUUGACUCUGGUGUUGACUGUCUUCCUGGGGAGGAUUCAUCAGAUCAAUAAAAUCUCUGCUGGCGGUGGUGGUGGUUUGCUUGGGGGAAGAAGACGAGGGUGAUUGAUUUGAGGUUGAAGAAGAGGUCAAAUCCAUUAUCUGCUUGUCCAUAAACUGAGACGUGUUCAUCUAUGAACAAAGAAGUGUUCAAUAUUAGGGAUUGAGAAUUGUGGAGUAAGGGUUGGAUUUCUUACUUCUUCUCGACGAAAACAACCUCACACUGUCUGGUUGUCGGGGUUUUAAU
rnacentral:misc_RNA from 1 species